GUCUACAUUCAUAUCACCCUGAAUGCACCCAAUCUUGUUUGACCUCAGAAGAUAAGAAGGUCUACAUCUGGUUAGUAUUCGGAUGGUAAAAAGGGGCCAGGGGACA
ensembl:rRNA 5S_rRNA 5S ribosomal RNA